GGCGCUAUAGUGUAGUGGCUAUCACAGCGGAUUCUGACAGUCGGCAAUUUCCGCUAACCCAGGUUCGAACCCUGGUAGCGCCU